AACUCAAUAUUUUACAAAAAUAUAAUUAAUGCAAGUUUAUGUUUAUAUGCUUAGGUAAAUGAAUAAUGCACUUUUAUAUUAUUUUGACUAUAAUCUCAAAAAAUUAAUUGAAAGAUUUUCUUUAGAAAAAAUAUAAUUAACACAAGUUUAUUUUUUAUGUAGAUUGAUAUGCUUAGGUAAAUGAAUCAUGCACUUUUAUAUUAUUUUGACUAUAAUCUCAGAAAAUUAAUUGAAAGAUUUCCUUACGAAAAUAUAAUUAAUGCAAGUUUAUGUUUAUAUGCUUAGGUAAAUGAACCAUGCACUUUUAUAUUAUUUUGACUAUAAUCUCAGAAAAUUAAUUGAAAGAUUUUCUUUACAAAAAUAUAAUUAAUGCAAGUUUAUGUUUAAAUGUAUAUAUAUAUAUAUAUGUAUGUAUAUAGGAAUCUAAAAUAUAAUAGAACUCUCAAACAAUUUAUAAAACAUCCUACAAAAUGAGUCUUUCCAAAAAAUGUAUAUUAAUCGCAUUUGUUUUCACUCUUUUCUUUGCGAUGUCAAUUGUUCGCUGCACCGAUAUUGUUUCUGAUUUCGGAGUAAAGUAUAAUAUGUGCUAUGGUCCAUGUGACGACAAAGGAGUGUGUAGGCCGUUUUGUUAUUCCAAAAAAGGUCCGAAAAGGGGAGACUGUGUUGGUGGCACUUGUUGUUGUGAUGAACACUAAAUAAAAUAUUAAAUAAUAUCAUUUGAUAUUAUAUCUUGUAUGAAAUGAAAUAAUAUUACCAAUAAUACAUAAAAUUCUUUUACAAAAAAAAUAUAAAUGUUAUCACAUUGAAGUUACUUUGAUUAACCUCGAGAAAACAUUAGUCAAAGUGCAUGUCUUUUCUAAAAAAACAUUGAUAAAAGUAUAGCAAAAUAUUAAUAAUGUAAAUAUGUAAUCCCACAUGACAUAGAACUGUAAACUAUGGAAGGGAAAACACGUGAAGAACAAUUAACGUUACAUAUAUAUGUCAUGCAAAAAUAAAUGAAGUGAAAAAGGAAACUAAUAAAAAAAUGGUAAAUGUAAGUAAGUGAAAAACAAAAAUAUUAAUUUAAAAAUAAAAUAUUCAUUUUUUCCUUUGUACAUAUAUUCAUUUUAAAAAAAGGAAACUAAUAAGUGAAUGUAAAUGUAAUUAAGUGAAAAAUAAAAAUAUUCAUUUUUUCCUUUGUACAUAUAUAUUCCUUUUUUUCUUUUACCAAAAUAAAUAUUCAUUUUUUCUCAACAUUAAAAUAAAUCCUAUGAACGGAGACGUCUCAUAAACCCUACAUAGUAGAAGCUCUGCAGAUGCAUUCAGUCCAUGUUGUCUUGCAGCUUCUAUUGGGCCGAAUUUCUGUCACCAUUCUGAUAUACUCUAUUCUUCAGUUUGAUUUUUUUUUUUUUGAAACUAUUUAUUUUGAUAUCUUUUGAGUCGACAUAAUGAAUCACGAGAAUAAACCUCUCUAACACGAGAUUCUACUUCGACAAUACAUAUCUCCACAACCUUAAGCAGAAGAACAACAUAGUACAUAUGUUAAAUUCACAUUUGGGUAAAAAAAUUGAUAGGUUUCGCCGAUGGAUCAUGUCUUCAUCGUCAAUCUAGCUGUUGCGACUAGGCAUUUACUUGGAUGAAUUUAUGUGAUAAAUCAUGCUCCAGGUAGUUAAAAACUUUUUAUUCUUAGUUCAGGUAUUAAAAUUCAAAUUUGUUAUAAGUUCAGGUAUCGGAUUGCAUCAUUUGUUUCGUUUAAACUAAAAUUAUUCAGUUACGAACUGUGUCAUGUCACCAUUUUACGAACAUGAUGACGGUUGUAUGUAUUUAAAUGUCUUUUAUUCUAAGUUGAUGUAUUAAAUUUAAAUUCGUUAUUAGUCCAAAUAUCAGAUCACACAAUCAAAUAGUUUAUAUAUUGAUUAGGCGAUAUGGCCUAGUUCGUGCACUAAUUCACCAUUUUGCCUAGUUUCAUCCCUUGAUUGAAUUAUUACAACUAUUCUUAUGGAUUUGAGUGAGUAGAUCGAGAGAAACAAUGAUGUAAAUAAAGUUUAUUAAAGUUUAAUGAUAUUAUAGGUGUUGAUAAUCAAUGGACAUAUAUACGUGAGAGAGAUUUCAUGAAGUCGAAAGAAAAUAAAAAAUUGUAAGAUGACAAGAAUGAUAUAUAUAAGUUUACAAAAAAAAGAGACUGAUAUAUAUAUGUGUGUGUGGAAGGGAAAACACAUGAAGAACAUGCAAAAUUAACGUUACAUAUAUAUGUCUCAUGCAAAAAUAAAUGAAGUGAAAAAAUAAAACUAAUAAGUGAAUGUAAAUGUAAUUAAGUGAAAAUAUUUAUUUUUUCUAGACAUAUAAAUAAACCGUACGACGGAGACGUCUCAUAAACCCUACUACAUAGUAGAAUAGGAGGCGGAUGAAGCAUUAGCUUCACGGCCAAUUACAAUAAAUAUUAUUUUGGGGCAAAAGUAUGUGAAAGGUGUCAUUAGUUCAGUGGUUGAGUAUGCUGCUCUAAACUGAUCACGUCACCAGUUCGAGAUAGUCUAGCACUGUUUUUAUCCGUUAUUUUAGGUUAAAUAUUUUAUACUAAAACAAAGGGGAAAUCGCAUUUUAAACAUUGAGAGUGUCAUUUUCUAACACUUUAAACACUGAAGUUAUUUUACUAGCACUUUAAACCUUUAAAGUGACAUUUUUAUCAUAAUAAACCUCCAAAGACGUUUUCCUGUUCAUAGAUGACCAGUACUGUUUAUUUUACCAGUAUAUAGAAAAUAAAGUUUGGAACUUUCAUUGUCUCCGUUUCUCUAGAGAAUAGCGAUUUUAUAGUGGUUAGUUAUAUAGAGCAUUUACCAAUUUUAUAUUCGUAGGGGUUAAUACAUAGAUUUUGAGAAGAAAAAUCAAAAAUAUGACAUUACUAUUUUAAUGCAUAGUUGGAUCAUGCACUAACAUAUGAUGAACGUCAAAGAGUUUUGGAACCUUUAUUGUCUCCGUUUCUCUAACGAAUAGCGAUUUUAUAGUGGAUACUCCACUAAUUUUGGGUGUAUUGUGAAAAAUAAGGUUUGCAUCAUGCGAAAAUAAGGUUUGGAACCUUUGUUUAGAUAUUUUAAAACAAUACUAAAAAUCAUAGGCUUCAGUGUAUAAAGCAUUUAUCGAAAAACUCAAUAUUUUCGUAGGAUUAACACAUAGAUUUUGAAAAAAAAUUAAAAAUAUGAAAAUUUUGUUUUAAUGUAUAGUUGCAUCCUUCACUAAUAUAUGAUGAAGUUCAAAGAGGUUUGGAACCUUUGUUUUCUCCGUUUUUUAGAGAAUAGAGAUUUUAGAAUGGUUAGUCAAGCAAUUUAUGAAGUAUUAUGAAGUUUUACUAUAUUAAUUGACAAAAAAUUAAAACGAUGCCCAUGUACCAUGAAAAAGAGUUUAAUAUACAUUAAUACAAAUUUAGAAUGUGUUUAGAAAUUUUAAAACAACGUUAAAGAUCAUAGGUUUCAGUCUAUA